AGAAGGAGAAUAGAUAUGGUU
rnacentral:miRNA from 1 species